rnacentral:rRNA from 1 species
GUGAAGAUGCAGUGUACCCGCGGCUAGACGGAAAGACCCCGUGCACCUUUACUACAGCUUUGCACUGGACUUUGAAUCUAUUUGUGUAGGAUAGCUGGGAGGCUUUGAAGCGUGAACGCUAGUUUGCGUGGAGCCAACCUUGAAAUACCAGCCUGAUGUCUUUGAGGUUCUAACCCAGGCCCGUUAUCCGGGUCGGGGACAGUGUGUGGUGGGUAGUUUGACUGGGGCGGUCGCCUCCUAAAGAGUAACGGAGGCGCGCGAAGGUGGGCUCAGAGCGGUCGGAAAUCGCUCGUUGAGUGCAAUGGCAUAAGCCUGCCUGACUGUGAGACUGACAGGUCGAACAGAGUCGAAAGACGGCCAUAGUGAUCCGGUGGUCCCGAGUGGAAGGGCCAUCGCUCAACGGAUAAAAGGUACUCCGGGG